rnacentral:tRNA from 1 species
GGGGCCUUAGCUCAGCUGGUAGAGCGCCUGCUUUGCAAGCAGGAGGUCGUCGGUUCGAAACCGUCAGGCUCCA